rnacentral:rRNA from 1 species
AUAGGAGAUAAGAAGGCAUCUUCUUGUUUUUAAAAGACCUAGCAAUAGGUAUGCUUAGGGAGGAGCUUGCGUCACAUUAGUUAGUUGGUGGGGUAAAGGCCUACCAAGACUACGAUGUGUAGCCGGGCUGAGAGGUUGAACGGCCACAUUGGGACUGAGACACGGCCCAAACUCCUGCGGGAGGCAGCAGUAGGGAAUUUUCGGCAAUGGAGGAAACUCUGACCGAGCAACGCCGCGUGAACGAUGAAGUAUUUCGGUACGUAAAGUUCUUUUAUUAGGGAAGAAUAAAUGAUGGAAAAAUCAUUCUGACGGUACCUAAUGAAUAAGCCCCGGCUAACUAUGUGCCAGCAGCCGCGGUAAUACAUAGGGGGCAAGCGUUAUCCGGAAUUAUUGGGCGUAAAGGGUGCGUAGGCGGUUAAAUAAGUUUAUGGUCUAAGUGCAAUGCUUAACAUUGUGAUGCUAUAAAAACUGUUUAGCUAGAGUAAGAUAGAGGCAAGUGGAAUUCCAUGUGUAGUGGUAAAAUGCGUAAAUAUAUGGAGGAACACCAGUAGCGAAGGCGGCUUGCUGGGUCUUUACUGACGCUGAGGCACGAAAGCGUGGGGAGCAAACAGGAUUAGAUACCCUGGUAGUCCACGCCGUAAACGAUGAGUACUAAAUGUUGGGUAAAACCAGYGUUGAAGUUAACACAUUAAGUACUCCGCCUGAGUAGUACGUACGCAAGUAUGAAACUUAAAGGAAUUGACGGGACUCCGCACAAGCGGUGGAUCAUGUUGUUUAAUUCGAAGGUACCCGAAAAACCUCACCAGGUCUUGACAUGCUUCUGCAAAGCUGUAGAAACACAGUGGAGGUUAUCAGUUGCACAGGUGGUGCAUGGUUGUCGUCAGCUCGUGUCGUGAGAUGUUGGGUUAAGUCCCGCAACGAGCGCAACCCUUAUUGUUAGUUGCCAGCACGUAAUGGUGGGGACUUUAGCAAGACUGCCAGUGAUAAAUUGGAGGAAGGUGGGGACGACGUCAAAUCAUCAUGCCCCUUAUGACCUGGGCUACAAACGUGAUACAAUGGCUGUUACAAAGGGUAGCUGAAACGYAAGUUUUUGGCGAAUCUCAAAAAAACAGUCUCAGUUCGGAUUGAAGUCUGCAACUCGACUUCAUGAAGUUGGAAUCGCUAGUAAUCGCGAAUCAGCAUGUCGCGGUGAAUACGUUCUCGGGGUUUGUACACACCGCCCGUCAAACCACGAAAGUUGGCAAUACCCAAAGCCGGUGGCCUAACUUCGCAAGAAGAGGGAACCGUCUAAGGUAGGGUCGAUGAUUGGGGUUAAGUCGUAACAAGGUAUCCCUACCGGAAGGUGGGGAUGGAUCACCUCCUUUCUAAGGAAACAAUUAUCAUCUUCAGUUUUGAGAGACUUA